GACGAACGCUGGCGGCGUGCUUAACACAUGCAAGUCGAACGAUGAAGCCGGAGCUUGCUCUGGUGAAUUAGUGGCGAACGGGUGAGUAACACGUGAGUAACCUGCCCUUGACUCUGGGAUAACUGCGGGAAACUGUAGCUAAUACCGGAUACGACCCUCGGAGGCAUCUCCUGGGGGUGGAAAGAAUUUCGGUCAAGGAUGGACUCGCGGCCUAUCAGCUAGUUGGUGAGGUAAAGGCUCACCAAGGCGACGACGGGUAGCCGGCCUGAGAGGGUGACCGGCCACACUGGGACUGAGACACGGCCCAGACUCCUACGGGAGGCAGCAGUGGGGAAUAUUGCACAAUGGGCGCAAGCCUGAUGCAUCAACGCCGCGUGAGGGAUGACGGCCUUCGGGUUGUAAACCUCUUUCAGCAGGGAAGAAGCGAAAGUGACGGUACCUGCAGAGGAAGCACCGGCUAACUACGUGCCAGCAGCCGCCGCGG
rnacentral:rRNA from 1 species